rnacentral:tRNA from 1 species
AGAGAGGUGUCCGAGUGGCUUAAGGAGUUCGCCUGGAAAGCGGAUGUGGGUAACACCACCGGGGGUUCGAAUCCCCCUCUCUCUGCCA